GAUGAACGCUGGCGGCGUGCCUAAUACAUGCAAGUCGAGCGAACAGACUACUACUUUCCUCCUCUGACGUUAGCGGCGGGCGGGUGAGUAACGCGUGGAUACCCUACCUCACAUACUGGGAUAACUUCGGGAAUCGGGCUAUAAUCCGGGAGAAUGUAUUGUACGGUAUGGUUGAAGAGUGAAAGUCGGUUUUGCUAUGACUUCUCGGUGUAUCCGCGCCGCGUUGGAUUGUUGGUAAGCUAACGCCUUGCCAGGUGGACGAUGCGUAGCCGAAUUGAGCGGGUGAUCGGCCACACUAGAACUGAGACACGGACAAUACUCCUACGGGAGGCAGCAGUAGGGAAUCGUCGGCAAUGGUCGAAAGCAUGACGGAGCAACGCCGAGCGAGAGGUGAAGGUGUUCGGUUCGUAAUGCUCGGUUACUAGGGAAGAACAAAUGUGUAAGUAAAUAUGCCCGUAGUGACGGUACCUAAUCAGAAAGCAACGGCUAACUACGUG
rnacentral:rRNA from 1 species